AACAUCUGUUUGUUUACCCAUCUGAUAAGGAGACUGCUAAGCGCUCGGGGCGGCCAUGUUUGUGUGACGUAGGCAGUCUACAUAGGCAUAACUUCCAACGCUCUGCUGCACAGCAUUUCUUCUUCGGCGAACAGGAAGCUUUCUGUGGGAUCAUAUGAUAUUGCCGAUUAAAGGGACAGCAGGAAGGCGGCGGCAGUCCAGGUCAUGUCGUAACCAUGGUCGUAACCUGUUCAUCUGGAUGUUCAGCGAGAGAGACGCAACAAGGUUUAAAGAUGGUAGUUUCCAAAGACCGAUGGACUUCGACUAAUCAUACAUUACUGAGUUGAUUUUUUUAUAUUGCACUCACUUA